AAUCAACGCUGGCGGCGUGCCUAACACAUGCAAGUCGAGCGAGAAAAGGGGAGCAAUCCCCUGAGUAAAGCGGCGCACGGGUGAGUAACACGUGGGUAAUCUGCCCUAGAGUGGGGAAUAACACCGGGAAACCGGUGCUAAUACCGCAUACGAUCACGAUGUCUGCGGAUGUUGUGAUGAAAGGAGCAAUUCGCUCUGGGAGGAGCCCGCGGCUGAUUAGCUAGUUGGUGAGGUAAUGGCUCACCAAGGCUACGAUCAGUAUCCGGUCUGAGAGGACGGUCGGACACACUGGAACUGAGACACGGUCCAGACUCCUACGGGAGGCAGCAGUGGGGAAUUUUUGGCAAUGGGGGCAACCCUGACCAAGCAACGCCGCGUGGAUGAUGAAGUCUCUUGGGACGUAAAAUCCUUUCGACGGGGACGAAACCGCAAGGUUGACGGUACCCGUANAAGAAGCCCCGGCUAACUCCGUGCCAGCAGCCGCGGUAAUACGGGGGGGGCAAGCGUUGUUCGGAAUUACUGGGCGUAAAGGGCGCGUAGGCGGUUUGCUAAGUUGGAUGUGAAAACUCUGGGCUUAACCCAGAGCCUGCAUCCAAAACUAGCAGGCUAGAGUUCUGGAGGGGAUAGCGGAAUUCCUGGUGUAGCGGUGAAAUGCGUANAUAUCAGGAGGAACACCGGUGGCGAAGGCGGCUAUCUGGACAGAAACUGACGCUGAGGCGCGAAAGCUAGGGGAGCAAACAGGAUUAGAUACCCUGGUAGUCCUAGCCCUAAACGAUGGAUACUUGAUGUGACUGGGAUUGAAUCCAGUCGUGCCGAA
rnacentral:rRNA from 1 species